UACGGAGGGUGCGAGCGUUAUUCGGAAUUACUGGGCGUAAAGCGCGUGUAGGCGGGGAGGCAAGUCUGAUGUGAAAGCCCCGGGCUUAACCUGGGAAGUGCCUUGGAAACUGCCAUUCUUGAGUGCUGGAGAGGAAGGGGGAACUCCCGGUGUAGAGGUGAAAUUCGUAGAGAUCGGGAGGAAUACCAGUGGCGAAGGCGCCCUUCUGGACGGCAACUGACGCUGAGACGCGAAAGCGUGGGGAGCAAACAGG
rnacentral:rRNA from 1 species